UCAUUAUAAUAGUAAUUUACACAACUAGUUCGGGAUAGCCUGCUUCCCGCAUGAACGCUUGUUUGCGGCACGACCGAAGGGAGUGCCGCAUUUGCGUGAAUGCGGGAAGCAGGCUCACGAACGUGUUGUGUACAAUAUUUUUUGCAACGAAUAAACCUUUAAACUGAAGAAAUUAACUGUGAGUUAUUUAUAAACAAUGGCGCCGUCAACACAUCACAAUGUUGACACUACGCGAGUAUUUUAAAGUUACCAUGGCAACGGGAAGUUAAAAUGCACGUGUGCGGGAAGUUCGAACUCCCGCACCCUGGUGAAUGCACGAAAGCCAUCAAAAAAGAUCAUGAGUGCAAAAAGAGUAUUGAUGCUUUAUAAGACGAUGCUGUUUACCUUAUCAAUGCCCCCUCCUUUACAGAAAAGCUUCUUUCUAUUCUUAAGAGUAUUCUAAAACCUAAACUAAUGGAACGAAUACACUUUUGUGAAAAUUCGGAUGUUUUAGUUGAAAAAAUCGGGAGUGAAGUUCUUCCAAUAGAUUAUGGAGGCAAAGAAAAUUCUCUAGAAGAAUUGCAGGAAAAGCUACAUCAAAAAUUUAAGGAGCGUGAAGAUUAUUUUACUCAACUGGACAAACUUCGUAUAAAUCAAGCUUUGAAACCUCAGACUUUAAAAAAUGAUGGAACAUAUGGAUUACCUGGCAAUUUUAAGAAAUUGGAAAUUGACUGAUUAUUAUUAUU